AAGGGGAUAACAGCUGGAAACGGCUGCUAAUACCAUAUAAUGUUGUGCACCGGCUGGGUGUGCAACCAAAGGCGGUUGAGGCUUGCAAGCCGUCGCCUGGAGAUGAACCCACGUUCCAUUAGCUUGUUGGUGAGGUAACGGCUCACCAAGGCUGCGAUGGAUAGCCGGCCUGAGAGGGUGAUCGGCCACACUGGGACUGAGAUACGGCCCAG
rnacentral:rRNA from 1 species